rnacentral:misc_RNA from 1 species
CAGAGUUGCAAAACUCCCAAACCCUUUGUGAACAUUACCUUCAAACGUUGCUUCGGCAGGCGGCCCCAGGGCGGGGCUGCAGCCUUUUACAGGCGCCUGCCGGAGGCCUUUUUUAAACUCUUGUUUUUCAGUAGCACUUCUGAGCAAAAAAACAAAAUAAGUCA